UACGGGGGGAGCAAACGUUGUUCGGAAUCACUGGGCGUAAAGGGCGUGUAGGCGGCUGGAUAAGUGGGAUGUUAAAUCCCCCGGCUCAACCGGGGACCUGCAUCUCAUACUGUUCAGCUCGAGCACAUCAGAGGAGACUGGAAUUCCCGGUGUAGCGGUGAAAUGCGCAGAUAUCAGGAGGAACACCAAUGGCGAAGGCAGCUCGCUGGAACGGUACUGACGCUGAGGCGCGAAAGCGUGGGGAGCGAACAGG
rnacentral:rRNA from 1 species